AAACCUGCGGAAGGAUCAUUA
rnacentral:rRNA from 1 species